rnacentral:tRNA from 1 species
GCGGGGGUGGCCGAGUCUGGUCAAAGGUCCAAACGGCCGACCAAAGGUGCCAGCUUGAGGGGCUGGUCCCGUAGGGGUUCGCGGGUUCAAAUCCCGUCCCCCGCACCA